rnacentral:rRNA from 1 species
ACUAAGCGUACACGGUGGAUGCCCUGGCAGUCAGAGGCGAUGAAGGACGUGCUAAUCUGCGAUAAGCGUCGGUAAGGUGAUAUGAACCGUUAUAACCGGCGAUUUCCGAAUGGGGAAACCCAGUGUGUUUCGACACACUAUCAUUAACUGAAUCCAUAGGUUAAUGAGGCGAACCGGGGGAACUGAAACAUCUAAGUACCCCGAGGAAAAGAAAUCAACCGAGAUUCCCCAGUAGCGGCGAGCGAACGGGGAGGAGCCCAGAGCCUGAAUCAGUGUGUGUGUUAGUGGAAGCGUCUGGAAAGGCGCGCGAUACAGGGUGACAGCCCCGUACACAAAAAUGCACAUACUGUGAGCUCGAUGAGUAGGGCGGGACACGUGGUAUCCUGUCUGAAUAUGGGGGGACCAUCCUCCAAGGCUAAAUACUCCUGACUGACCGAUAGUGAACCAGUACCGUGAGGGAAAGGCGAAAAGAACCCCGGCGAGGGGAGUGAAAAAGAACCUGAAACCGUGUACGUACAAGCAGUGGGAGCCUCUUUAUGGGGUGACUGCGUACCUUUUGUAUAAUGGGUCAGCGACUUAUAUUCUGUAGCAAGGUUAACCGAAUAGGGGAGCCGAAGGGAAACCGAGUCUUAACUGGGCGUUAAGUUGCAGGGUAUAGACCCGAAACCCGGUGAUCUAGCCAUGGGCAGGUUGAAGGUUGGGUAACACUAACUGGAGGACCGAACCGACUAAUGUUGAAAAAUUAGCGGAUGACUUGUGGCUGGGGGUGAAAGGCCAAUCAAACCGGGAGAUAGCUGGUUCUCCCCGAAAGCUAUUUAGGUAGCGCCUCGUGAAUUCAUCUCCGGGGGUAGAGCACUGUUUCGGCAAGGGGGUCAUCCCGACUUACCAACCCGAUGCAAACUGCGAAUACCGGAGAAUGUUAUCACGGGAGACACACGGCGGGUGCUAACGUCCGUCGUGAAGAGGGAAACAACCCAGACCGCCAGCUAAGGUCCCAAAGUCAUGGUUAAGUGGGAAACGAUGUGGGAAGGCCCAGACAGCCAGGAUGUUGGCUUAGAAGCAGCCAUCAUUUAAAGAAAGCGUAAUAGCUCACUGGUCGAGUCGGCCUGCGCGGAAGAUGUAACGGGGCUAAACCAUGCACCGAAGCUGCGGCAGCGACGCUUAUGCGUUGUUGGGUAGGGGAGCGUUCUGUAAGCCUGCGAAGGUGUGCUGUGAGGCAUGCUGGAGGUAUCAGAAGUGCGAAUGCUGACAUAAGUAACGAUAAAGCGGGUGAAAAGCCCGCUCGCCGGAAGACCAAGGGUUCCUGUCCAACGUUAAUCGGGGCAGGGUGAGUCGACCCCUAAGGCGAGGCCGAAAGGCGUAGUCGAUGGGAAACAGGUUAAUAUUCCUGUACUUGGUGUUACUGCGAAGGGGGGACGGAGAAGGCUAUGUUGGCCGGGCGACGGUUGUCCCGGUUUAAGCGUGUAGGCUGGUUUUCCAGGCAAAUCCGGAAAAUCAAGGCUGAGGCGUGAUGACGAGGCACUACGGUGCUGAAGCAACAAAUGCCCUGCUUCCAGGAAAAGCCUCUAAGCAUCAGGUAACAUCAAAUCGUACCCCAAACCGACACAGGUGGUCAGGUAGAGAAUACCAAGGCGCUUGAGAGAACUCGGGUGAAGGAACUAGGCAAAAUGGUGCCGUAACUUCGGGAGAAGGCACGCUGAUAUGUAGGUGAAGCGACUUGCUCGUGGAGCUGAAAUCAGUCGAAGAUACCAGCUGGCUGCAACUGUUUAUUAAAAACACAGCACUGUGCAAACACGAAAGUGGACGUAUACGGUGUGACGCCUGCCCGGUGCCGGAAGGUUAAUUGAUGGGGUUAGCGGUAACGCGAAGCUCUUGAUCGAAGCCCCGGUAAACGGCGGCCGUAACUAUAACGGUCCUAAGGUAGCGAAAUUCCUUGUCGGGUAAGUUCCGACCUGCACGAAUGGCGUAAUGAUGGCCAGGCUGUCUCCACCCGAGACUCAGUGAAAUUGAACUCGCUGUGAAGAUGCAGUGUACCCGCGGCAAGACGGAAAGACCCCGUGAACCUUUACUAUAGCUUGACACUGAACAUUGAGCCUUGAUGUGUAGGAUAGGUGGGAGGCUUUGAAGUGUGGACGCCAGUCUGCAUGGAGCCGGCCUUGAAAUACCACCCUUUAAUGUUUGAUGUUCUAACGUUGGCCCCUGAUCGGGGUUGCGGACAGUGUCUGGUGGGUAGUUUGACUGGGGCGGUCUCCUCCUAAAGAGUAACGGAGGAGCACGAAGGUUGGCUAAUCCUGGUCGGACAUCAGGAGGUUAGUGCAAUGGCAUAAGCCAGCUUGACUGCGAGCGUGACGGCGCGAGCAGGUGCGAAAGCAGGUCAUAGUGAUCCGGUGGUUCUGAAUGGAAGGGCCAUCGCUCAACGGAUAAAAGGUACUCCGGGGAUAACAGGCUGAUACCGCCCAAGAGUUCAUAUCGACGGCGGUGUUUGGCACCUCGAUGUCGGCUCAUCACAUCCUGGGGCUGAAGUAGGUCCCAAGGGUAUGGCUGUUCGCCAUUUAAAGUGGUACGCGAGCUGGGUUUAGAACGUCGUGAGACAGUUCGGUCCCUAUCUGCCGUGGGCGCUGGAGAACUGAGGGGGGCUGCUCCUAGUACGAGAGGACCGGAGUGGACGCAUCACUGGUGUUCGGGUUGUCAUGCCAAUGGCACUGCCCGGUAGCUAAAUGCGGAAGAGAUAAGUGCUGAAAGCAUCUAAGCACGAAACUUGCCCCGAGAUGAGUUCUCCCUGAGACUUUAAGUCUCCUGAAGGAACGUUGAAGACGACGACGUUGAUAGGCCGGGUGUGUAAGCGCAGCGAUGCGUUGAGCUAACCGGUACUAAUGAACCGUGAGGCUUAACC